AUUGAACGCUGGCGGCAGGCUUAACACAUGCAAGUCGAGCGGGGAAGGGUAGCUUGCUACCUGACCUAGCGGCGGACGGGUGAGUAAUGCUUAGGAAUCUGCCUAUUAGUGGGGGACAACAUUCCGAAAGGAAUGCUAAUACCGCAUACGCCCUACGGGGGAAAGCAGGGGAUCUUCGGACCUUGCGCUAAUAGAUGAGCCUAAGUCAGAUUAGCUAGUUGGUGGGGUAAAGGCCUACCAAGGCGACGAUCUGUAGCGGGUCUGAGAGGAUGAUCCGCCACACUGGGACUGAGACACGGCCCAGACUCCUACGGGAGGCAGCAGUGGGGAAUAUUGGACAAUGGGCGCAAGCCUGACCCAGCCAUGCCGCGUGUGUGAAGAAGGCCUUUUGGUUGCAAAGCACUUUAAGCGAGGAGGAGGCUACUUGGAUUAAUACUCUAGGAUAGUGGACGUUACUCGCAGAAUAAGCACCGGCUAACUCUGUGCCAGCAGCCGCGGUAAUACAGAGGGUGCGAGCGUUAAUCGGAUUUACUGGGCGUAAAGCGUGCGUAGGCGGCUUUUUAAGUCGGAUGUGAAAUCCCUGAGCUUAACUUAGGAAUUGCAUUCGAUACUGGGAAGCUAGAGUAUGGGAGAGGAUGGUAGAAUUCCAGGUGUAGCGGUGAAAUGCGUAGAGAUCUGGAGGAAUACCGAUGGCGAAGGCAGCCAUCUGGCCUAAUACUGACGCUGAGGUACGAAAGCAUGGGGAGCAAACAGG
rnacentral:rRNA from 1 species